UCACGUACUUGUUGCGGAGUGGUG
rnacentral:piRNA from 1 species